GCCGGCGUGGCUCAGCUGGUAGAGCGUCGGCCUGCGGACUGAAGGGUCCCGGGUUCAAGUCCCGAUGGGGGCG
rnacentral:tRNA from 1 species